AGCAAUCAGCGAGACUCCGUGGGCGUAGGACCCUCCGAGCCAGGUGCGGGAUAAAAUCUCGUGGUGCGCCGUUUUUUAAGACCGUCGGAAAAGCGCAGUAUUCGGGUGGGAGUGACCCGAUUUUCCAGGUAGAGACACUUUUGACUUGAUCUCUGCAGUCCUCAACAUGCCAUCUUCUAUCCCGAGGGCAGCCAUCUUCUAUCCCAAGGGCAGCCAUCUUCUAUCCUGAGGGAAGCUGGCCUGAGGAUGAAGCCAGAAUAUGGAGAAGAGGAGAAGGAGAUGGCUGAGAAGCAGAACGGAAACCUGAACUGCAUUUUUCUUAGAGCAAGAAUUACAUCAAUUCUUCAAGCCAAGUUGAGCACUGUUGGUUUCUGUUACUUGGAACUUAAUAAAAUCUGACAGAUACUGUACAGGGAACAGUACUUGGGGAGCUCCACUUUAUCUGAGGCCUUUGUGAGUGGCUUGUGUCACAUUCCUGGCUGUUCAGGCAUCAGUCCUGGUUUCCUGGUGAGCUCUCUGCUGACUCCACCCAGAGCUCUCUUGCUUCCG
rnacentral:lncRNA from 1 species